CUAAGGUUCCGUCUUUGAGGUGUAGGUUGUUAGGUGAUUUGAUGGAUUCAGCUUUACUUUCUAAGCAAACUAGGGAUUCUGGAAUUACCAGAAAUCCUUAUCCCCGUCGUCCUCGGACACACAUUUCCUCACCCCAAAAUGUGAACUUCUCCGUACUCCAGCUUGAGUUCAAUAGUCACUAACUACUUUUAAAGAUUCUGCCUUUUUUGCUUUUACUUUCAUCAGACUUCUGAAUCAAGUCAUGUGGUGUCUGCCCUUUUCUUUUUCAAUGUUCAUUCCAAUUCCAUGAUAGAGAAGGGAGAUUUCAGUUAAGUGUGUUGGUCUUGGUCUAUGUCCAUGGAUCCUCAUUUGGAUCUGAAUCAAAUAUCAUUGUAAUUUCAGGGGUGAGUGGUGUACUUUGAAAACAGAAAAUGUUGAAUAUGAAGUGAGUGCCUGAGUGCCAAAGAAGGAUAGUUAGCUAGUCCCGGAGAUGGACCGGAGGAGCUGGCUGUGGCGGAGGAAAUCGUCUGAUAAGAGUCCCAGUGGUGAAACCGAAAGCUCUGGUUCGAUUUCAUCGCAUUCCGAGAGAUUCUCUGAUGAUCAGGCAAUUCCAAAUCACAGUAUUCAAUCACCGGAAGUCACAUCUAAAGCUGCAUCCAAUGAUGAAGAACUUAAUGACAGUGUCAGUGUGAAGGCACUAUCAGCUAAACUGUCAGAAGCUCUGCUUAAUAUUCGUGCUAAAGAAGACUUGGUAAAGCAGCAUGCAAAAGUUGCAGAGGAAGCUGUCACAGGUUGGGAAAAGGCUGAAGCUGAGGUAUUAGUCCUGAAGAAACAAGUUGAUGCUACUGCCCAAAAGAACUUGGUCCUUGAAGAACGCACCGGUCACCUUGAUGGAGCACUUAAAGAGUGUUUGAGACAGCUUCGACUCGUGAGGGAAGACCAGGAACAAAAGAUUCUUGAAGCUAUAUCCAAGACAAGUUCUCAGUGGGAGUCUUCAAAGUCUGAACUUGAGAAACAGCUUGCUGAGCUCCGGUCUGAACUUGAAAGUGCUAAAGUUGAAGCACUCGUGAUCCCAGAUCUUCGUGCGCAGCUUGAAUCUAUGAAGGAAGAGAACUCAGUGUUGAAGCUUGAGCUCUUUUCUACAGCGGAGGAUCUCACACUGAGGACCUCUGAGAGAGAUUUGAGCACAGUUGCUGCUGAAACAGCUAGUAAGCAACAUCUGGAGAGCAUAAGAAAGGUGGCCAGGCUUGAAGGAGAGUGUCGCAGGCUCAAGGCUCUUGCUCACAAAGCAGCUUCAGCUAAUGAUCAAAAGUCUGUUGCUGCAUCAUCAGCUUAUGUUGAAUCUUUUACAGAUAGCCAAUCAGAUAGUGGAGAGAGACUGUCUGGAAUUGAAAACGAUAGUCGCAAAAUGAAUACUUUGGAGCAGAAUGAGUACGGAUCUAGUCGGUCUGACCUAUGGGCUUCCGCUUUGAUAUCAGAACUGGACCAAUUUGCAUUUGAAAAGCCACUCAAAAGAAACAUUAUGAAACCUUCAUCAGACAUGAAUCUCAUGGAUGAUUUUCUUGAGAUGGAGAGGCUUGCAGCAUUGCCCGAGUCAGACAGUGAAAGCCCCCUUGAAAGAGGAGCUUGUUCUGGGGAACUUUCUUUAAAAGUUGAACUUGAAGCCAUGAUUAAUCGGACAGCUGAACUGGAGGAGAAGUUGGAGAAUAUGGAUUCUGAGAAAAUGAAGUUGGAGAUGGCAUUAACCCAGUGCCAAUUCCAGCUUAAAAUGUCCAAAGGUCAAUUAAAAGAAACAGAGGUGAAGUUGAUUGAGCUGAAAUCUGAGUUAGCUUUGGCAAUUGAAGCUAGAACUGCAGCUGAGGUAGAAUUUCAGACUACUUCUGCAAAGCUUAAGAAAUUAAUAGAGCAUUUAGAGAAAACAGAAAUGAAUGUGGCAGAGCUUCAAACUAAGUUAGAUAUGGCACAUGAAGCAAGGAAAACAGUUGAGGCAGAACAUAAGGAUACCAAUCUUAAGCUUCAAUCUAAGUUAGAUAUGGCACACGAAGCAAGGAAAACACUUGAGGCAGAACUUAAGGAUACCAAUCUUAAGCUUCAAUCUAAGUUAGAUAUGGCACACGAAGCAAGGAAAACACUUUUGGCAGAACUUAAGGAUACCAAUCUUAAACUUCAGAAAUCAGAAGUGUGGUUAGAGGAAGCACAGGUCAGUUUGGCAGACCUUGAUGCUCAUUUCUCAACUGAAAGAGAGGCACGGAUAGCUGCUCAGCAAGAGCUUGAGGUUUCCAAUUCAAAGCUUAAGAAAUCAAUAGAGCGCUUAGAACAAGCAGAGGCCAACUUGUUAGAGCUUCAGACUCAGUUGGAAAGGGCAAAUGAAAUAAGGUGCACCAUUGAGUCUGAACUAGAGGAUAGCAAUCAUAAGAAAGAGGAAACAGAGUCUCAACUCAAAGCUGCAGAAUUUCAACUGCAAGCUUUGCAUUCAAGAGUUUAUUCACUUGAAGAAGAGGUGAAAAAAGAACAGGCUUUUUCACAUGAAUCUAUUCUAAAGUUGAGGAAAUUAGAAAGUUUAAAUUUAAGACUAACAUCCCAAUGCCAGCUUCAGAAAGCAGCAACCAUUGGAGAAUUUCAAUUCAAUAAGGACAAAGAACUGGCAGUGGCUGCUAGUAAAUUUGAGGAGUGCAAAAAGACAAUUGCUUCAAUUGGUAGGCAGUUGAAAACCCUUUCAAACUUAGAAGAUUUCCUGAUCGACUCCUAGAGACCACGUGAGCUCUGUUAAGACAGAUGUGAGCAGCAGCUGUUAGGAAUUCACUGUGUACCUGAACGAAAAGUUGGUCAAGACCAACUGAAUUCAAGUAAGAGCAGCAUAUCCCAUGGACAUCAGCAACCAUAAGGAACAUCAGGAUUCAAAAUUUCCAAGGUACAAUAUUUAUGUAUGUUUCAGUUAAGCAGCAGUUCAUUUGUACAUGAAAUGUUGGGUAGAAUAUUUUUCCAUCGUCGUUGACGUAUAAAGGAGAACAGAUAAAUUUACAUGUAAGAUGCAAGUUAUAUAGUAUACUGCCAUUUGUUUAAGGAAAAUUUUGUGGUUCAA